rnacentral:rRNA from 1 species
UACGGAGAGUGCAAGCGUUAUCCGGAUUCACUGGGUUUAAAGGGUGCGUAGGCGGGCAGGUAAGUCAGUGGUGAAAUCUCCGGGCUUAACCCGGAAACUGCCGUUGAUACUAUCUGUCUUGAAUAUCGUGGAGGUAAGCGGAAUAUGUCAUGUAGCGGUGAAAUGCUUAGAUAUGACAUAGAACACCCAUUGCGAAGGCAGCUUACUACACGAUCAUUGACGCUGAGGCACGAAAGCGUGGGGAGCAAACAGG